rnacentral:rRNA from 1 species
AUGGCCAAAGCCUUCGACUCGGUGGAUUGGGCUUUCCUCCUUAAGGUUCUGCGCCAUCGUGGAUUUGGGCCCAAGUGGCUAGCUAAGCUGGCUAUACUUCUGUCUACCUCCAGCUCGAGAAUUCUGAUUAAUGGGGCAGCAGGCGAUAAGUUCUGGCACGCCAAAGGGCUACGACAGGGCGACCCCCUCUCGCCUCUGAUGUUUGUUCUCGUGAUGGAUGUGCUUACGGCGGUCAUCAAGCGGGGCGACCAGGAAGGAUUAUUUGGUUCAUUUGAGCGAUGGGGAAUCCGGAACCGAUUAUCUAUUUAUGCGGAUGACGUGGUCAUGCUUAUUAGACCACUUGCGAGUGAAGCCGAGGCAGUGGUGGGUUUGUUCAGAGCCUUCGGUGCUGCCACUGGUCUCCACUGUAAUCUGGCAAAGAGUUCUGCAACCAUGAUUCGUGGCGAGGAUGCCAAAAUUCAGGAGGUGCUGCAAAUUCUGGAAUGCCUGGCUGUACAAUUUCCAAUUAGAUACUUGGGGUUGCCGUUGUCACCUAGGCGACUGACCAAGAUGGACCUUCAGCCGUUCGUGGACAGUGCAGUGGGGCAUCUACCAACGUGGAAAGCCUCCAUGCUGAGGCGUGCGGGGCGGCUUGUGUUGAUCAACUCGACGCUCACAGCCACGGCAAUAUACCCAAUGCUGGUGCUUGAUCUGCCGCAAUGGUUCCUGGCAUGUAUCGAUAAGCUAUGUAGGGGAUUUUUCUGGCGCGGGUAUGAGGAAGCCAAGGCUGGCAGCUGCUUGGUGAACUGGAAACUUGUCUACACGCCCAAAGAAUUUGGUGGCCUAGGGGUGAAAAACUUGAAGGUUAUGAAUAAUGCUCUAAUGCUCAAGUGGUCAUGCCUAGAGAAGGUGGGCCAGGACAAACCAUGGGAGGGGCUACGCAUUACAGUUCCAUCGGAGGCUAAAGCUGUGGGGGAGGCAGCA